ensembl:lncRNA
GAGGGAGCUGGGGCUGUUUAGUCUGGGGAAGAGGAGGCUGAGGGGAGACCUUCUUACUCUCUUCCAGUACCUGAAAGGUGUUUACAUGAGAGCAGGGUAGGUCUCUUCUCACUGGUGACAGGUGACAAGACGAGGGGAAAUGGCCUCAAGUUGCACCAAGGUAAGUUUAGGUUGGACGUUAGGAAACACUUCUUUACAGAAAGGGUGGUUAAGCACUGGAAUAGGCUCCUGAGGGAGGUGGUUGAGUCACCAUCCCUGGAUGUGUUUAAGAGCCGUUUGGAUAUGGUGCUCAGUGAUAUGAUUUAGCG